rnacentral:rRNA from 1 species
UACGGAGGAUGCGAGCGUUAUCCGGAUUUAUUGGGUUUAAAGGGUGCGUAGGCGGCUUCUUAAGUCAGCGGUGAAAUUUUGCAGCUUAACUGUAACAGUGCCGUUGAUACUGGGGAGCUAGGAUUUGGUAGCUGUUGGUGGAAUGUGUGGUGUAGCCGUGAAAUGCUUAGAGAUCACACAGAAUAUCGAUUGCGAAGGCAGCUCACAAAGCCAAGAUUGACGCUGAGGCACGAAAGUGUGGGGAUCAAACAGGA